rnacentral:rRNA from 1 species
GAUGAACGCUGGCGGCGUGCCUAAUACAUGCAAGUCGAGCGAACAGACGAGGAGCUUGCUCCUCUGACGUUAGCGGCGGACGGGUGAGUAAAACGUGGAUAACCUACCUAUAAGACUGGGAUAACUUCGGGAAACCGGAGCUAAUACCGGAUAAUAUAUUGAACCGCAUGGUUCAAUAGUGAAAGACGGUUUUGCUGUCACUUAUAGGUGGAUCCGCGCCGCAUUAGCUAGUUGGUAAGGUAACGGCUUACCCAGGCGACGAUGCGUAGCCGACCUGAGAGGGUGAUCAGCCACACUGGAACGGAGACACGGUCCAGACUCCUACGGGAGGCAGCAGUAGGGAAUCUUCCGCAAUGGGCGAAAGCCUGACGGAGCAACGCCGCGUGAGUGAUGAAGGUCUUCGGAUCGUAAAACUCUGUUAUUAGGGAAGAACAAAUGUGUAAGUAACUAUGCACGUCUUGACGGUACCUAAUCAGAAAGCCACGGCUAACUACGUG